rnacentral:rRNA from 1 species
AGUGAACGCUGGCGGUAGGCCUAACACAUGCAAGUCGAACGGCAGCACAGUAAGAGCUUGCUCUUACGGGUGGCGAGUGGCGGACGGGUGAGGAAUACAUCGGAAUCUACUUUUUCGUGGGGGAUAACGUAGGGAAACUUACGCUAAUACCGCAUACGACCUACGGGUGAAAGCAGGGGAUCUUCGGACCUUGUGCGAUUGAAUGAGCCGAUGUCGGAUUAGCUAGUUGGCGGGGUAAAGGCCCACCAAGGCGACGAUCCGUAGCUGGUCUGAGAGGAUGAUCAGCCACACUGGAACUGAGACACGGUCCAGACUCCUACGGGAGGCAGCAGUGGGGAAUAUUGGACAAAGGGCGCAAGCCUGAUCCAGCAAUACCGCGUGGGUGAAGAAGGCCUUCGGGUUGUAAAGCCCUUUUGUUGGGAAAGAAAAGCAGCAGGUUAAUACCCCGCUGUUCUGACGGUACCCAAAGAAUAAGCACCGGCUAACUUCGUG